UACGUAGGGUGCGAGCGUUAAUCGGAAUUACUGGGCGUAAAGCGUGCGCAGGCGGUUCGUUGUGUCGGCGGUGAAAGCCCCGGGCUUAACCUGGGAAUGGCCGUCGGAACUGGCGAACUGGAGUGUGGCAGAGGGGGGUGGAAUUCCGCGUGUAGCAGUGAAAUGCGUAGAGAUGCGGAGGAACACCGAUGGCGAAGGCAGCCCCCUGGGCUGACACUGACGCUCAGGCACGAAAGGCGUGGGGAGCAA
rnacentral:rRNA from 1 species